CAACGACGUUCAGCUAUGCCAGUCACACCCAACGUUGGCUGAAAACCUUUCAGGUCUCUCUCCUGACGCCGACAGAAUCAUCAGUCCCAAGAUGAAACUGGCCGUAGCUCUUGUGGUUUUGGUCGUCGUGCCGUUGACGCUCAUCCAGGCAAACACGACCACCCGUGCAAUUCUAACACCCCAGAAUGCCGGUGCCGUAAGCUCACGAGGCCUCCGAAGGACGCAGAAGGAGAAAAGGGAGGCCCUGUGAGAGAAGCCAUUGCAGCCUGCGAACAGGAGCUCACGACCCAGGUCCCCGUUGGACGAGGUAGGGGUCGUGGCUCCCUUGACCAUCUUCUCGAACAGAUGUCAGAUGAAUUCAAGAACUGCGUUAGAGGAAAGUUCCUGAGUACACUAGGAUUUGUAAGUAGCCUACCCUAUUAAC